rnacentral:rRNA from 1 species
CAUGCAGUCGAGCGAUGAGAUCCCUUCGGGGAAGGAUUAGCGGCGAACGGGUGAGGAACACGUGAAGAAUCUGCCUUCAACUCUGGGAUAACACCGGGAAACCGGUGCUAAUACCGGAUAUGAGCCUUGAUCGCAUGAUCAGGGCUGGAAAGUUUUUCGGUUGAAGAUGACUUCGCGGCCUAUCAGCUUGUUGGUGAGGUAAUGGCUCACCAAGGCGACGACGGGUAGCCGGCCUGAGAGGGCGACCGGCCACACUGGGACUGAGACACGGCCCAGACUCCUACGGGAGGCAGCAGUGGGGAAUAUUGGGCAAUGGGCGAAAGUCUGACCCAGCGACGCCGCGUGCGGGAUGAAGGCCUUCGGGUUGUAAACCGCUUUCAGCAGGGAAGAAGCGAAAGUGACGGUACCUGCAGAAGAAGCACCGGCUAACUAUGUGCCAGCAGCCGCGGUAAUACAUAGGGUGCAAGCGUUGUCCGGAAUUAUUGGGCGUAAAGAGCUCGUAGGUGGUUAGUUACGUCGGAUGUGAAAAUCUAGGGCUCAACCCUAGACCUGCAUCCGAUACGGGCUAGCUUGAGUUUGGUAGGGGAGACUGGAAUUCCUGGUGUAGCGGUGGAAUGCGCAGAUAUCAGGAGGAACACCAAUGGCGAAGGCAGGUCUCUGGGCCAAUACUGACACUGAGGAGCGAAAGUGUGGGGAGCGAACAGGAUUAGAUACCCUGGUAGUCCACACAGUAAACGAUGGGCACUAGUUGUGGGAACCUUCCACGGUUUCUGCGACGCAGCUACGCAUUAAGUGCCCCGCCUGGGGAGUACGAUCGCAAGAUUAAAACUCAAAGGAAUUGACGGGGCCCCGCACAAGCAGCGGAGCAUGCGGCUUAAUUCGACGCAACGCG